rnacentral:misc_RNA from 1 species
UUUUUUUUUCCCCUAAAUUUCUUCUUAUUUCUCAGGAAAGUGAUGAAUUUCAGGACUUUAGAAGGUUUCUUUUUAUUUUUCUAAAGAUUGCGUAUGGUUUCGUUGAGUGCCAAUUUUGAGCUUGGAAGCUAAUGUCAUUCUGAAAGCUACCUGGUGUCCCACAAUCCAGUUCCUGUAAUUUUUUUUUUUUCAAAAUUCUUCUGCUUAUUUUUUUAGAGAAAUGAUCAUUCUCGGGACUUCAAAAGGUUUUAUUUUUAAGUUUUAAUGCUUUGAGGAGCAGAGAUCCUAAUGUUUUAAUGUUUUGAGGAACAGAGAUUCAAUCUUCUGCACAAUAAAAUAAUUGAUCCUGUAUUAGUUCUUUGACUGAAAUUUAAAAGGUUUUCUACUGAUGAACAGAGGUGCUACUUGCAAUGUGUUAUUGUAGAUUGCAUAUGGUCUCUUCGAGUGCCAAUUUUGAGCCUGGAAGAUAAUUUCAUUCUGAAAACUAACUCAGUUUCACAAUCCAGUUCCUGAAAUGAUUGUCAUCAGAAAGUUGGAUUUCUUUAGGACUUGCUUGGUCUCCAGGCCUUGAUUAUUAUAAGUGAUAAUAGCUAUUGCAUUGAAAUCAAUAUUCUUACAUUUCUAUUCCUCUAGGGCAAAAUUUGUUUGGCAGCCUAGAUAUAAAAGGAAUGACACAAUUGGUUAAGACUGCUGGAAAGAGAGAUCAUAGAAAAAAAAAUGCACAAAUGAGGAAAAAAAAAGGUUUUGUGUGUCAUAAAUGAAUUGACUAUACUAAUCUCUGCUCAUAUAUUUCUAGAUUUGAGCUUUUUAUAGCUUAAAUGUACUGUAUGUCUUCUUUCUUCAACUGGCCUACAGCAUAGUUUAGUCAAAUUCUACAAUAUAAGGACUUGUCAGCAUUUUUAACUAAUCCUUUAUUAUUUGUCGUCUUUCAUCAAACUAUUGUGUUUACGUCCAGAUGGGGUAGGAAUCAAUCCUCAA